rnacentral:rRNA from 1 species
UACGUAGGGUGCAAGCGUUGUCCGGAAUUAUUGGGCGUAAAGAGCUCGUAGGCGGUCUGUCACGUCGGCUGUGAAAACCUGGGGCUCAACCCUGGGCCUGCAGCCGAUACGGGCAGACUAGAAUUCGGUAGGGGAGACUGGAAUUCCUGGUGUAGCGGUGAAAUGCGCAGAUAUCAGGAGGAACACCGGUGGCGAAGGCGGGUCUCUGGGCCGAUAUUGACGCUGAGGAGCGAAAGCGUGGGGAGCGAACAGG